GUGUGUCAGAGAGAUCUGUCAGUGAUUAACUGGCAUCCUGUUGAUGUGCACGGGUUCACAGAAUCCGGCAGGCUAGGUGGCUAUCUUGUUCCUUUCUCUCUACUAUUCUAUUUGCUCCUCCUUAAGCUGUGUCUUCUGUGGAAAAAGACAACUGUGCCAGACAAAAAGAAGAACAUCCUCUGUCAAGGGUCUGCACGUAGUUGCUGUUCCUUUGGUAGAACAUUCAAAUUAGCCCUCAAGGCCCUUUGACACGGGAAUACAGGCAGACAAAAUUAUUAAUAGAUGGUUCUAGAAUUUCUCU
rnacentral:snRNA from 1 species